rnacentral:rRNA from 1 species
AACGAACGCUGGCGGCAUGCCUAACACAUGCAAGUCGAACGAGGGGCGGACGGGUGAGUAAUGUCUGGGAAAUUGCCUGAUGGAGGGGGAAAACUACUGAAAAGGGUUGCUAAUACCGCAUACCACAAGAUGUGCCCAGCUGGGAUUAGCGAGUUGGUGGGGUAACGGCUCACCAAGGCGACGAUGCCUAGCCGGUCUGGGAGGAUGACGAGCGACACUGGAACUGUGACACGGUCCAGACUCCUACGGGAGGCAGCAGUGGGGAAUGUUGCGCAAUUGGCGCAAGCCUGAUGCGGCCAUGCCGCGUGUGUGAAGAAGGCGUUCGGGUUUUAAGGUACUUUCAGCUGGGAGGCGUUACCCGCAGAGGAAGCGCCGGCUAACUCCGUGCCAGCAGCCGCGGUAAUAC